UAUAGAUGGAUGGAAGUGUCAUCAAUCCAGUCUUUAUUUAUUUUCCACUGAGACGAAGAACUGGAAUGAGAGCAGAAGAUACUGUAGAGAGAGAGAAGCAGAUCUGAUCAUCAUCAACAACACAGAGGAACAAGAUUUUGUGAAGAAUAUUUGUGGUUCUGAACAUUUCUGGAUUGGUUUGACUGAUGUUGAAGAGGAGGACAGAUGGAAAUGGGUUGAUGGCAGCAACAUCAACAUCACCUCUGGGUUCUGGGCGCCUGAAGAGCCAAACGACUAUCAGGGAAACGAAGACUGUGCUAACACUCAUUCAUCAGGAUGGUUUGAUACUAAAUGUGAUAGUAGUGUUAAAUGGAUCUGUGAGAAGAGUAUCCUUAAAUGAUACAUUAUAAUAAAAAUGUACAUAUAUGCAUCAUGAACGUAUAAACAUGUCAGUAAUUUUACCUGUUUUUUAUUUUUUUGAAUGGCACAUUAAUUAGGUUAUUCUGUAAAAACAAAUAAAAAAUAAAUAGAAAAAAACA